rnacentral:lncRNA from 1 species
UUUUUUUUUUUUUUUGGUGUUUUCAGUUUGGGAUACUUUAUAACUUCAAGAUCCUAAUUUCCUGUCAGAUACAGACAGGGCUGUUAAGACUUUCUACCCUGAACACUGUCACUGUCACUGUUGUUGUUGUUGUGCACCAGGUUCUGAAUUUUGUGUAGUCCCAUUUGUUGAUUCUUGGGAUUAUUUCCUGAGCUACUGCUGUUAUUUUCAGAAAUUCCUGGCCCAUGCCUCUAUCCUGAAGCUUCCUUCCCUCUAGAAUUUCUAGAGUCUUACUUUAAGGUCUGAUCCACUUUUAUUCAGAGUGAGACUUUAUUUCCAAAUGCUGAGGAAGGAGAUCCAGUUUGUCCCGUGCCAUUUGUUGCAGAGGCUGACUGACCCUUUCUCAGUGGAUGCCUUUGUCACCGUCAAGCUUUAGGGCCUGUGAUUGUCUCUGUAAACACUCUGUGACUAAGUUUGGCUUCACAUUUGCUUUAUUAAUUAUCUGCGUAGUGGUGCCAGCCUGGUUGUAACGUCUUCCAUUUGUUUGGUAAAUGACUUUGACUCUCGAGUCUCUGAGUGUCGCUGAAGCAUGUUACCCAGGAGAUAGCUGGGUCUUGUUUAUUAUCUAUUAGCUAGUCUAUGUCUUUUAAUUGGAGAGAUAACAAAAUUUGCAUUUGGUGAGUGAGAGAGGUUUGCUAAUUCCUAAAAACUUUUGGUUAUUUUUCUAGUUUGUUGGAUUAUUGUGUAUUGCUUUAUCUCUUCCCAGCUAGUAGUGGUGGUUUUGAGGGCUUACAUUUUGAGUGUGAUAGAUUUCUUCCCAGGUCUUCUCUCUUCACUCUCUUCAUCUUUUCCUCACAUGAAACUGGUAUCCUCUGCUCUCUUGAUCUCUUUCCUGUGCAUGGUGUUCCUCUAGGUGUUCUUUUUCUUUUUCCUUUUUUUGCAGUGUUAAUGUGAUUUUUCCUUGGAACAUGAACAUUUGUGUAUUUACCUCAGAUAGGGCAUUGGUGAUGGGAGCUGGGGGAGAGUUCAACCUGGUAAGCCAUUGGUUUAUCUGUAACCCAGUGGGUGAGAGGUUAUUUGCAGGAGCUCCACUGAGUCAAAGGCAGUUGAUUCACAAAGCAGCGUGGGAGACCGCGUAUAAGCUUACAGGCCGGGCGCUUCCUGCUCCACUGGGGGACUUCCCCUGCAGGGUCCUCUGCUUUUACAGCCUUGUGCAGGGAGGGAGGGCUCUCAGGAUUGUAAAUCUUCAGAUUGAUGGAGCCUGGGAAAGUUGAUUAGCAUCUUGAUCCUUAUAAGUUCCCUAAGUCAUAGGAGCCCCCAGUCUCCUUUUCUCUGCAGGAGAGAAGCAUUCAGUUCUGUGAAAAUAGCAACACUACAGCUGGGUGGUGACAGUGUUGCUUUACUUCAUGCUGGUUUUGGAAUGUAAUUAUGUCCUGGUCAUUUUGAAAGAUUACUUUGCUGGAUCUAGAAAUCUGGUUAGCAGUAAAAUGUAUGCUUUCCUGACUGUUAGGGAUUUCUUGGGGGCAGUUUGGUGUUUGCUCUUGUGGGUUGGUGUUUGUCUCCUGUAACAGUAAAUAACAAUCUUGUUUUACACUGCCUGCGUUGAUUUGCCAUUAUAAAUACCUCUUUGUUCUGGCAUGCUCAUUUUGUUAGGUUUGGGAAGUUUUCUACAAUUUUAUUGAAUAGAUUCUCUAGGCCUUUACAUUUCAUUAACCUCUCCUGCAUGGAUUCUUAAGUUUGGCAUCUUGAUUCAUAGCUCCAUGUUCUUGGAAGUUGUUAUUAGAUUUCACAGUGGGACAAAUGGCUGAGGUGCUCAUUAACAUAUCAAAGUGGACCUGACCCCUAGGUUCUCCUUGCAUCCCUCAUUCCUUACCUGUUACAGUCCUCCUGGCUGCCACAGCCCUCCCUCUACCAUGAACUCUCCAGCCUUGGGAGCUAGGCUGCUCUUUCCUGUAUAACCCAACCUUUUGGAUUACUGGACCUCUUUGUACCUCUGGCCUCCUGGCUGCUGCACCUUCUUUUGCUCUUUCCCCUCUCCUUUCUCUUGCCCCCUCUUCACAUGGCCCACCUCAGUCUGGUCAUGUUCCCUCUGCACUCUCCCAGACAUCCUGCCUCUGUUUAUGCUCUCCCACAUACCUAUAAUAAACUAUCUUAUCUCCUCCACCAUACCUAGGAACAGUCAUGUUCUUUCCUUUUUAUUUCUUUUUUUAUUCAGUUGUCAGGAUCAUUUAUUUACUUUCUCUCCUUUCAGUGUUUGAAUGUAGUUUUUCCUGUCCUAGUAACUGGCUCUCUUGAAGUUCUGUGAUCUCUGUGGUCUAGUCUAGUGUGAUUUUUUUUUUCUGUUGGGCUUUUUUAUUUGAUUCCUGAGCUUUUUGUUUCCUCUAUUUCUAAGCCUUCCCCUCCUGCCCAGUUUCCCUUCUGACUUUCUCUUCACUUUUCACCUGUGCUGCUGGCUCUCUGUUCCAGGCCCUGCACGGAUUGAUUAUUAUAUUCUCCAGCUUCUAGCCUCUUUGAAAUUAUUGAUAACUUCUACAAAUAAACUUAGAAAAUCUUUUCGUCUUAGUAUCCUUGAAUUCAGUGGUGGGAUUAUUUGAGGACUCUUCUUAUGCUGUGUGUGUGUGUCUGUUUGUGUGUAUUUCUGAGUUAUAAUUGACACGUCUGUUGUUUUAGCUCUCUUGUAAUCUGGAGAUCCACUUAGUGAGCAGUUUUUUCUUGAAAGCUCACUCCCUAAAGAGUACAAAGCAAACUGCUGUUACAGCAACUACACCAAACUAAAAAAGACAGAAAGAUUUUUAAAUGAUUUACCAUCAGUAACAUAAAAUUGAAAAUGGCACGUGAUAUAAAAUGUGCAAUGGGUUAAAAUCAUUUAAGCAAACAUAGAUUAGCAAAUGGUUUGGUUUAAGAAAGCAGCCAGGGAGGGAGAGAUGAGAACAGAAAUAGAGGUAACUGAAAGAAAAAAAGCCAAACAUGGUGAUACCUGCCUGUCAUCAUAGCACUUGGGAGGCAGAAGCCAGUGGUUUGAAGUUAGUCUGGCCUACCCUAGCAAGCUCCUGGACAUUCAGGGCUAUAUAGGAAGGAUCCUGUCUGCACAGGUUCAAGCCUGAUGGGGUCCUACCCCUAACCAAGAAGCUAUCUGUAAUUGAUAAGUGUUGUUUGUGAAGAAAAAAAUGUUUCUCCAGUGGAGUAUCACUGGUUCUAUUAACUUCACUGUAGGCCUCAUGCCCAGGAGAAGUUGGCCAAGACAAAAUGAAUUCAUUGGUAAUUUUGUAAACUUUUUUUACUUUCAUUUUGCUCUGUUUGGGCAUUUUUGUCUUAUUGAUCUUUUGCUUGUGUAUUUUGGUUUUUGUGUGUGUGUAUGUGUGUUUGUGUUGCUUGUUUUUUGAAGAGAG